CUCCUGGUCGUCAUCACACAUGGCUAGGUUGCAUAUUUUUAUCAUUCUUCUUUUGGGAGGUGUUGGUAGCAGUCAAGUUCAGAUCCCUGGAUCAGUGUUAGGAGGUGACAGUUAGACCAGGAGACAACAUCACUCUCUACUGUGACUGUAAAACAUCUACUGGAGUAUACAUCGUGUGGUACAGAAACUGUUCUCAUGUGAACCAGCCUUCACUUGUUCUCGGAACAAGGUACCCACAUGAGAAGUUGUUGGAAAUUGAUUACUCUGAAGACAUUCUGAAUCCCUUUCCUCGUUUUCAUUUGGAGAGAAAUCAAUCGUCUGAAUCUUACGAUCUGCUGAUCAUGAACAUCACCGAUUCUGAUGAGGGUUUCUACUACUGUGGAACUGAACAGGCCAAGGUGGAAGAUAAGACCAAAGUUGAACGCAAAUACAUUUACAGAUAUGGCAAUGUCACAACAAGGAUUGUACUGAGUAAGUAUUCUGUUUUGAGUUCUCCUUGGGGAUCAGUUAUCUAUGCAAUCUAAAAAUGUGACUAAGACAGUAGGAGAACAGUAGGAAAAUGUAUAAUGAAGAAAUCACUAUCAUGACAUCGUUUCCCAAACAACAUUGUUGUGAUAGCUGUUCCCUGAUUACUGUUCCCUGGUUUUUAACUUGUACUGAAUCAGAGACUCUCUUGAAUCUGAAAUGUGUUAAAUAAUUGUAAAACUGCAUCUAAAACUUUGAUCAAGAUUCCACAUAGACAUACUGGUUGAAACUGACACACCAUACAAACCUUGUAGGGUUAUAUUGAUAUUAAAGUAUGAGGAUAUUUGAGGAUAUACUAUGUUUAUUCAACUGUGAUAGCAGCGAAAAUGACAGUAUCGACCUUUUUUUGUUUGAUGUGGAUCAAACAAAAACAUUAAAUAUUGUUAGCAGCUCAGAUCGUUAUAAAAACUCAACAUUGGCUAGUGAAGACGUCUUUUACACUUAAAUUUGGAACUACCAGCAUUAUCUUGAGAUUAGCAUGUGUGUGGUUUUGUGGAAAAAAAUUAUACACAGAGGUGACAUACAUGCAAAAUUGUGACCAUAAAAAAAAAACAAAACAAAACAUGAUAGUGCUAUGAGAUUAGUAAUCACAAUCGUGUGCUCAGAAAGCUAAUUGACAGUACUCUGUGUUUGUUUUACCAGUUAACUCCAGCGAGCCUCAUCAAGAUUGUGGUUCGUGCUGGACACUGUUGUUCUCUCUGUGUCCAGCUUUUGCUGUUCUCUCCUCUCUCCUCUCCUCUCUUCUGGUUUAUCACCUCUGCGGAGAAAACAGGUACAGCUAAAGAACCACAAGUUGAUGAGGAAGGGCCUGCAACCAGAGGUCACACAAGAGGAAAUCAGGAUGAAGACGUGUGUUACGCUGCACUGGAAAUCCGUCAGGUGUCACAGAGACCAAAGAAGAAGAAAAUCCAGAGUUCAGACUUCAGCACAUAUUCUGCCAUCAAUACCUCUAGGAUGUAAAGGACACAGUAUAACUCAUUUAUGAGCAAUGGUGUUUACAGGCCACACACCCUCAUCCUCUGUCAGUCAUCUGUGAUGUCAUUGGUGUGUGUGAAAUUUACAGUUUAAAAAAUGUUUUUAAUCAACACCAAUUAUGUUUGAGAGAAGCUGAUAUUCAACUCUCAACUCUCAACGGUCACAGUCAGUUUUGAUCUGGAAAAACGUAGCACGUAGCACGUAGCAAGUAGCACUUGUCACCUGAAUACCUCUAGGCCAUUACUGUGAAGCUUGUUGGUAGUGGCAAUCAUCAGGAAGCUGAUAGAGAAACCACAGGAGUCCCAAAGUGCCUGAGAGCUCAGGCUGACACAUACAGACAGAAAGCUAUUCAUGCUCAAAUUUACACCUAUGGGCAAUUUAGAGUUGCCAUUUGAUCUAACGCAAACCUGCAUGGCUUUGGACAGUAGGAGGGAGUCAGAGCACCUAGAGAGAAUCCACACAGAUGAGCUGUACAAGAAGAUUUGGGAAAUGUGUUUGUUGCUUAUCUACUGUAAGAUUGAAAUUGAUCUGUUUUAUUUCAUUACAUAAAUUAUUACUGUAUAUAACAAAACUCUAUAAUAACUCUCUUUGGCCAAUUUCCUGUUGUUAUCUCAAAUUAUUUAUCAGCUGCAACCCUUUGUGCUGAUAGUGCUUUAGAGAACAAGACACAUACAAAAGUUCACAAAUGUGUUACACACAAACAUUCCACAAAAACGAUGCUUCUUAUUUCUUAUUCACCAGCUAUUUAUAAUUCAAAAGCCCCUCUACCCGCUUUCAGAAAAGUUAAGACAACACAGAGUUGACAAUAGUGUCAGUCUCAACCAUCAUAUAGUUCAUGUUUUCACAAAGACCACAGGAAACCCACACUGACAAGAGUCCCCUGCAGAACUCAACAUGCAGCCAGACUUCAGCUGCAGAGUUUGGUCCCCAGAUGAUUGAUAUCAGCUUAAGAAUGGUUUCAGAUUGACUCAGUUAUUAGCUAUUGGGCCAUGUGGUGUUCAAACAUUUGCAGCUACAGUAGAGCAAGAAACUCAUUAGAAUCAGGCAGAUCUGCAGACACCAGAGGUACGGGGGCACCUUAUGUUUUUACAGUUAUAAUCACUUCAUUAUAUCUGUCCCCAUCUUUUCUAUUUAUACAUGGUUGAGUGCACUUUCUUUGCUGCAUGACGCAGAGUGUGGUUUCAUACGCACAUUCUUGCAGAUACCAAGCCACUGAGGUUAUACUGAAGUAAUGCUGUUUGUCUGCAUCAGUAUAUCUGAAGCACAAACAUACUGUGGUUUCUUGUUUAUUUGUUGUUUUAAUGAAGGUGACACCAGGUCCAAGUGAAACUCUCCUGACCUCUAGUGGAAAAAUCAACCAGUAAACCAUGGUCACAAAAGGACGAGCCCAAGCUGCGACAUAAUCUAAACAAGAUUCUUCUAACCACCAUAUCCUACUUAUGAAUUCACAUUAGUUGUAGGACCUUAACAUUACAGCUCAUAAUUAUAGCAAUUAUGUAAAAAUAUGAAUGCAAAUCUGGCCAGAAAUAUAUGUAGUGUUACCAGUUUAAAAUAAGGGUGUGUGAAAAAAAUUAUAUUUUUGGAUGAUCUACCUCAGGGACAAAUUUGUGCUGGCAAUGUUGAGGUUCAAUACAAGGCAUGUGUCAUAUCAUAAUCUAUUUCUAUACUUAUCGGAAUGUAUUGGCCAACUUUUACAUAGUAAAUAUGAUUUUAAUGUAAGUCGGUUGUCUCUAAUGCUGACAUGUGUAACUUCCUCGAAGUCCCAGUCUAUGUGUAGAGACUUGUGAUUUAAAAACAUGUCUGGUUUAAAAUGUAUUUGCUUGAGUUUUUCCAUUACUACCUGAAAACGGUCCAUUAGUUGAUGAUGAUCAAGCUCUCAAGGAAGUAUCAUAUUGUGUCAAACUGUGGCAGCAGACUGACAGAGAAACAAUAACUGCAUUGUAGCUAUGACAAUACCAGUUCCUACCAGACCAGAGGCAAAACCACCGUUUAUCGAAAACAAGUUAUGUUCCCGCUCAGACACAGCAAAACUUUCACAGAGCUAUUUUAAAAUGAAAGAGAAGCAGUGGUUUCCCAGCAGAUCACACCUCAAAUGUGGACACAAAACCUGUAUGUGCAUACUCCUGCAUGCUCAGGGGCAGGUUGCAUAAGUGAUAUUAUGGUAUACUUAUGUUCCACUGAACAUGACAGAAACCUGAGGUUUUUGCAAGUUAUGACCAUUUAGCUCUUAAAUUUUUUUUUCCUGUCAUCUCACCUCCUCGUAUCCUCUGAAGUGAUACUGUGUGUGCUGGGUGGGGAUUGUGUAAGGCCACACAAGGGUUCAGUGCUUUUCAUACAGUUGUUGUUUGUUAACAACAUUGCAUGUUCCAUAUGUGAACAAAAGAAAAAAGUGUUCUCAACCAGGGAUUCAAUCUUGGGCUUGGGGAUUUUAGUCUGAUUAUACAACAUGUGAUUUUGAUAAUGGUAUUAGACCAACAAUAAUUUAUGAAAUAAACAGUCCUACAACAAUUAUUCUGAAAUACCUAAGUAGCAGUGUACCACAUUAUUAUUGCCUAUAAAUGUGAUGAAGCUGACAGACUGUUGCUGAAUUGAGGUUGAUCCUUGUCAUAUAUCCCUUUCUGACAGAGAGAGCAUCCCAUUCUGUGGUUUGAAUAUCAAAUGUGCUAAUGUUUAUGUUUGCAACGACAUCGGAAAAAUCCACAGUAUGUUCAUGCCUUUGUUGAGCAUUAGUAUUUAAUAAAAGCUUACCAUCACAGCCAACAACAAAUGAUGCAGGGGGAUUCACUACAGAAUCAAAUACCAUCAUGAUGUUUUGUGAACUGACUGUCCAAGCUGAGUCAGCCUGAUGCAUAAA